CCAGGGUCAUCUGUGAGCUUUCCCAAAUCCCUCUGUCAUCCAGACCCCUGGACCACCUGGUAGAGGUGGCCUGUUAAGUCAAGAGGGCAGACAAUUUGGGAAUCACCACCUUCUGACCAAAGCAUGCAAAUCUUCCCUUAAAUAUCUGGAAGAGGAGGAUGGGAAAAUUCAGCGGGGGAUUGGUUGCUCAGGACACUGAAGCAGAGCAGCUACGAAGUGGAGGCAGGGUCUCCUGCCAUCAGCAGCUGCACUGGGUCCAGUCACAGCAAGGAAUAGUGAAAAGAUCUUUGGAGAAAGCUUUGAAAUGAAGGGAAGAAUUCAUCAGUUCAAAAAUCCAGCAGUACCUCCCAGCCUUGCAGGAGUUUGGGGAUAGUUAAAUCAGACAUAUGAAAUCCACAGAAACUAUGUGACAAGAUGCCAGAUAAGUGUCUCAGAAACACAGGAUUUG